GACGAACGCUGGCGGCGUGCCUAAUACAUGCAAGUCGAACGCUGAAGAGAGGAGCUUGCUCUUCUUGGAUGAGUUGCGAACGGGUGAGUAACGCGUAGGUAACCUGCCUGGUAGCGGGGGAUAACUAUUGGAAACGAUAGCUAAUACCGCAUAAAAUGGAUUAUCGCAUGAUAAUCCAUUGAAAGGUGCAAAUGCAUCACUACCAGAUGGACCUGCGUUGUAUUAGCUAGUUGGUGGGGUAACGGCUCACCAAGGCGACGAUACAUAGCCGACCUGAGAGGGUGAUCGGCCACACUGGGACUGAGACACGGCCCAGACUCCUACGGGAGGCAGCAGUAGGGAAUCGUCGGCAAUGGACGGAAGUCUGACCGAGCAACGCCGCGUGAGUGAAGAAGGUUGUCGGAUCGUAAAGCUCUGUUGUAAGAGAAGAACGAGUGUGAGAGUGGAAAGUUCACACUGUGACGGUAUCUUACCAGAAAGGGACGGCUAACUACGUG
rnacentral:rRNA from 1 species